UGUCAGGGGAGGGGCCAGGUGGAAGGUGAUUAGAUCAUAGUGGCACAUUUCCCCUUACUGUUUCAUGAAUAGUGAGCUCUCAGGAGAUCUGAUGGUUUUAAAGUGUAUGACAUGUCCCCCUUCACUCUCUCUCUCUCUCUCCUGCCACCAUGUGAAAAAGGUCCUUACUUACCCUUCACCUUCAGCCCUGAUGGUAAAUUACCUAAGUCCUCCAAGUGUCAUACUUCCUGUUAAUCCUGUGGAACUGUGAGUAAAUUAAACCUCUUUUCUGCAUAAAUCACCCAGUUUCAGGUAGUUCUUUAUAGCAGUGUGAAAAUGGACUAAUACCUGAUGCAGAAUAGGCACUAAAAAUAUGUUAACUGGGAAAAUUAUGAUAGUGAUAGAGUGUUUCAGAAUCUCACAUCAACAGUCUUUUAUUUUAUGACCUUUUUAGGUUGAAUAGCCCUGAGAUCAACAAUGUCACUGGUUGAAGAGGGCUGUCCAUUUCAUGUGAUAGAGGGCUCUUUAGGCGGCUUCUAUACUCAUUAGGUUCACAAAAUGUGAACUGUUCCAGAUGACUAGUAAUAAGACAUUUUCACUGAUGGCAGUUGAUGUUUCUCCUUUCUGACACAUCAAAGUCUAUCAAAAACUGAAUCCCUUGCAGUCUGACAUCACUCCAUAUGCUGCAAAAUGUCUUAUACUAACUUUAAUUUUUUAGGCACCUAGUAUUGAGCACCUAUUAUCUAUCUGACACUGCUUACACUGAUAAUUUAAAAUUAAUAGAUACAUUUGGUAUUCUCUGUUAAAGGAGAAAAACAAAAAGAUGAACAUAACAUUGGAGGAUAAGUGUUAUGACAGACAAAACCUGGCAGGUUAUGGAAACACAGAAAGAGAAUGUCCAAACCAGAAUAACUGAAAUGGGCAGAAGGAUGAUAAGGAAGGAUGCCUGGAGAAUGUGAUGGAGAACCUUGGCAAUAUCCUGAAUUUAGUACUAAAAGCAAAAGAUAAGGAAGAUGUUAUGUGGCCUCUGUAUAACAGAGACUGUUCUAUACUGAAAACUUAUGAUAUGCUUUCCACCUUAGACAAAGCCAGACAGGACAGAAGGCACAGAAGACAAAGCCUAUGGCUCACCAAAGUGAUAAAUCCAGUAGCGCAUACCUACAUAAUGCUGGGAUCCUAAAUGACUCUACCCUGUGUAUGGUGUGUACCAGUAAUAAAUCCACCCCACAGCACAAGAGAGGGAAAUUCUUUGCUAUGAUUUUUGUGCUAAAUUCAGACAAAGUAUCUCCCCUGAACAUUCAUAACCAAAGAACACUCCUCAUGCUGAUUUGUACACUGAAUCCACAUUGACCUAGUGGCCUAACAAACCUAAAUCCAACAAUCUGUUUAAAGUGGUCCCAAAUAGUAGUUACUUCAGAGAUCUCAGAUAAACCUAGGCAAAUUAUCUUUGAGGGAAUACACAUUCUAUCCAGGCUUCAAAGGAUUUCUACAGAUAAAGUUCCAAGAAACAUGAAUUUACAGUCAAAAUUUAUAAGAUAAUACCCACAAUAAAUCACUUGAUAGAGUCCAACAGAAACAACAGAUGACAGAAAGACUUUAGAUGUAGAAUAUAAAAUUAUAUUUCAAUCUGUCUAAAUAAAUAAAAGAUAUAUAUAUAAAGCAUUAUAAAAGAGUAAAACUAUACAAAUGCAAAUCAUAUUGCAAAAGAGCCAAAUGGAACUUCUGGAAAUAAGAUUAUGUGUAACUGAAGUAAAAAAUUUCAAUGGAUGAGUAAACAGCAAAUUUGAUACAGUUAAUGGGAAAUGUAAUGACUAGACUCAGUGCUGAAGAAAUUGUCUAUAAUGUAACAUGUAAACACAAGUAGUUGGAAAAUAUUAAAGAGAAGUUAAAAUA